UACGGAAGGCAGCAGUGGGGAAUAUUGCACAAUGGGCGAAAGCCUGAUGCAGCUAUGCCGCGUGUAUGAAGAAGGCCUUAGGGUUGUAAAGUACUUUCAUCGGGGAGGAAAAAACAAAACUAAUAAUUUUAUUUCUUGACGUUACCCGAAAAAGAAGCACCGGCUAACUCCGUGCCAGCAGCCGCGGUAAUACGGAGAGGGCUAGCGUUAUUCGGAAUUAUUGGGCGUAAAGAGCGCGUAGGCUGAUUAGUAAGUUAAAAGUGAAAUCCCAAAGCUUAACUUUGGAAUUGCUUUUUAAAACUGCUAGUCUAGAGAUUGAAAGAGGAUAGAGGAAUUCCUAGUGUAGAGGUGAAAUUCGUAAAUAUUAGGAGGAACACCAGUGGCGAAGGCGUCUAUCUGGUUCAAAUCUGACGCUGAGGGCGCGAAGGGCGUGGGGAGCGAAACAGGGAUUAGGAUACC
rnacentral:rRNA from 1 species